GACACGGCCCACACAAGACACGCAAUGACGCUUGAGGCUUGACGCAGCAGAGCAGCCGAACAGACAGAGACAGGAGACGGCGCUUGGCUUCUGCCUUCUCCUUCCCUCACGCUCUCGGUCUCUCCCUCUCUCUCCCCAAAACCUAAACCCUAGAGCCGCCAGACGCCACUGUCCGUGGAGCAGAGCAGGCUGCAGCACCGCCGCGCCGGUGUGCGGCGUGCCGGCGUGUGCCCUCCGUCGUCUGCCCGUCUGCCCGUCUGUUCUUCGCUGUCUGCUCAAGACACGGUGAACAGUCUGUUCUUCGCCGUCUGCUCGUCUUCCCCGACGGCGCCCUAGCCCUGUUCGGCUGUCCGGCCUCCGGCGCCCACUUGCCCAUCGCCGGUCGGCGGCUCGCCUCCAUGGAAGCCCAAGAACCGGAUGGGCACGAAGGUCAUUCACGUCCGCCAAUACCAUGAAUUUCUGGAUCAAUGAUCAAGCGCACGAGCACGAGGAAGAAGCUUGUGCCAGCAGCUAAGAAGAUUUCAGCGGCUGCUAGCACUGCACCUUCAUCAUCCACAUCUUGUUGUGGUGCUGUCUCUGUAUCUAUAGAAAGCUCCAAAUCUGAGUUGCUCAUUUAUCUAGAUGAAUCAAAUGUGUCCAUAAAUGAGAAACACUUUGAUCUGCUUAACUAUUAGAAGGUGAAUAGUCAUAGAUUUCCUAUGGUAUCUUCUAUGGCAAAGAGGUUCUUGGAUGUUCCAGCUAGCAGUGUGUCAUCAGAAUCCACUUUUAGCACUAGGGGUAGGAUCCUUGAUGAUUACAGGAGUUCAUUGAAGCCAGCAACAAUUCAGGCUUUGGUGUGUGCUUCUAGUUGGAUACGCGGGUCUCGAAGUUCACCUAUUCUUUUAACUGGAGAAGGUGAUGAUGGUGACAUCGAGUCCGUGGAAUUUCCAAAGUGUGUGGUGGCAAGUAAUUAGGCACAUGGUCACAUACUCACAUGGAGGAGAUGGAGGAGAGGGAGAGAUAGGACCCGAGAGAGGAGACAUGAGAGGCACAUGGUCAAUAUAUUUUGUUGGCUGUAAUUGUAAGCCUGUAAUUGUUGGUUGCAACCGUUGCUAACCUGGCAUAUUUUGUUGGCUCCCUACAACUUUGUCCUGAACUCCUGAACCUGAAGUCCUGAUCUAUAAUUGUUGGCUACAUCACUGCGUGUAUUUUGGUUCUAGAACUGAAACUCUGAAAGUAUGAAAUUAUGGAUUAUGGAAUGGAACUAUUAUGAACUAUAAGUCUAUAAUUGGUGGCUGCAUGUAUUUCAAUAUACAAUUAUUUUUUGUUUGUUUAA